rnacentral:rRNA from 1 species
UACAGAGGUCUCAAGCGUUGUUCGGAUUCAUUGGGCGUAAAGCGCACGUAGGCGGAUCGUUAAGUCGGGGGUGAAAUCCUGGAGCUCAACUCCAGAACUGCCUUCGAUACUGGCGAUCCUGAGUCCGGAAGAGGUGAGUGGAACUCCUAGUGUAGAGGUGGAAUUCGUAGAUAUUAGGAAGAACACCAGUGGCGAAGGCGGCUCACUGGUCCGGUACUGACGCUGAGGUGCGAAAGCGUGGGGAGCAAACGGG